AAAACAAGAUUUCAAGAAACUGCGAAACAUCAAAUACAGACACCAUCGCACAGGAACCUCCACAGACAGAACUAAAACCCUGCCGGCUUUAGUUCAGAAAUCAGCUUAAGGAAACAAACACAGCAUCUCGCACUUUCUCUGUAAAUAUACAUACAAAGCAUGAUAAUUUCGAAGCAUAAAUAAAUAAAAUUAUAAAGAGACUGAUAAGUUAUAAAUAAUUUGGAAAAAUGGUAAAAGGAGAUGCGGUGACCAAAGAGAAGAACAAAGCAAGAAGAAAGAAGAUGCAAAAGGAGGACUCAAAUGUUUCAGCUCGUCUUGCUUCCAUUAUAGCAACCAAAAAGCGCCGCCUGUCUGGAAAACGUCGGAUGUGCCAGGUAAGUAAAAGAAGGGAACUUGUGCAUUGUUUUUUGAAGUAUAUUUGGGUUUUGUUGAUUAGUUUUUGAGAUUAAAGUUGAGUUAUUUAUGUUUUGAAUGGUUUAGAGUGAGAAAGAUGAGAAAUUGUGAUGUGGGUUUUGCUUGUUUUUGUUGGUUUAAGUGUUUUGUGUUGUUUGUUAGGAGAUUUAUGAAUUUGAACCAGAAUCAGGAAUUGGUAGAAGGAGGUUUUGCUUGUUUGUUUGAUUGAUUGAUGUGUGUAUUAUGGGGCAUUGCAAGCACUUGCAUUUGCUGUUGUUUUUUUAUUGAGAUAUCAGAUGUUGUGCUUUGGAAAACUAAGACUUGUUUCCAAGCAAAAUCUGAGCUUGUUGGGUUUUCUUUUGGGAAAUAACUUGGUGUGUUAUUAUUUUAUAUUAAUUAACAUUUGUGUAGCUUACAGUGUGUUAAAAAAUGAUUGGCUGGGGCUGUGUUUUAGCCUUCCUACUCCAAAUGAUCCAUUCAAUGACAGGAAUGUUUGGCAAGUUGUGAACCUGAAUUUCUUGUGUCCACACCUGAGAAACUUUUGGAGCUUGUUUCCCUGAAGGCUAUGGAUUUAUCAGGGUUCUCCUUUCUGGUUGUUGAUGGAGUGGAAUCUCUUUAUAAAGGCGGUUGUCUUGAUGCUCUUAAAUCCAUUAGGCAAUCUAUUUCUGUUUGUCCCCGGGCUGUGGUUUUCAACAAUUUCCUUAGUGGUUCUUGCGUUCUGGCUUUACAGAAUCUUCUCCUGGGAUCACUUGUAGAUUGUCUCUCAAUCUGUCUAUUCCCAGUCAAAGUGCAUGUGUUGUGCAAACAACAAAUGUGUGCACUUCUGAUGAAAUAAGACUUAUAAAGGAAUCCAAGUUUUGAAUCAUGCUUGUGACAGCCAACUCGCCUCUCAACCCUUAAAGGUGCUAUAUGUAGUUGGAAAUGAUAGCAACUCUUUCAAUUUAGUUAAGAUGCUCAAAAUCAAUGGUUAUACUGUCUCUACUGGCUCAAAUCACAAUAUUUCAGAUGAUGAUAACAGGUCAGUACUUUAUUUAUGCCUGCUAUCUAUUCUUUUCUCCAGUAGUUUUGUUUCUGCGAGCCUUUUCAUUUCAUAUUAUUUUUCUAAUCUUUACUGAAAUGUUGGUGCUGACACGUUUCUUAUUUUGAGACUCAAGCAGCAAAUGGGAUGUUAGAGGAUAGAAGGUAGACAAAAGUUUGAAUGGUACUACAGUAUAUAAAUGUUAGAAAUCAGGCUAUUAUGGAAUAAUGUAAUAAUAAUUACUACGGUGACACAUGUUAUAAAUACCAUCUUAUAAAACCAAGCUGAUUUUCUGCUAAGCUUCUCCUAUUCUGGUUUUAGACUUAAACUUCAAAUUGGGUCGUGGAACAGAAUUGGGUAGCUGAUUUAUCCAGUUUGCUACCACUUCUAAGGUUUCUCUUCGGCACAAAGUUCUUCUAGUCUCGGGCUCUUAUAACUUAUUUUUGUUUGCUUUGUUCAGCCUGGAUAUGAAUGUCAGAAGGAAACCUCUGGUCUUCGUGAUCAAUGUGGAGCACAUCCUACUACUGAUUUAGCUUUCUACGAAACUGUAUUCUUUCCCAAUUUUGCAGUCAAUUGAUAAUUAUGUUCAAAUCCACACAAGAAUGGCCAGGUACACUAUCAAUGGCGUCUCCCAUAGCUUUUUAACCAAAGAAGAUGCACCGAUAGCUGGACCGCUAAACAAAAUUCUUGAGCAAUGUGGGCAGGCAGUGCCUGAUGCCUUGAGAAACUUGCAUCUCACAUCAUCCAUGUUGGAAUCAUGAAGCUUCAAUUUUCGCUCAUCAUUACUUCAUCCCCAUUCUUUAUAGAUCCUAGAAUGUCUUCACCAGAAGCAACGAUUGCACUGUCCGUACCAAGUUUCUAUCCUGGACGGGUCUCGCAAAUGGUGAUAAUUUAUAAUGUGCAACAUCCUCACGGUGGUUUUGAAGAUAAUAUAGAUGAGAGCCUGAGUUAUUUCUGGUUCUAAACAUGGUAUAGCAAGCCAGAAUGGCUGUGUUAGUGAAAAUUUGUGAACGUUUUAGUUUCUUUGAGUUGUCUUUCAUUCUCUUGGCGGUUACCUAACAGAAUGAUGUCACAGUUUUGUCUCCAGAAUACAUACCACCAUCGUUUUUCACACUCAAGAUUUUAUAUUUGCCCUA